rnacentral:rRNA from 1 species
AUUGAACGCUGGCGGCAUGCUUUACACAUGCAAGUCGAACGGUAACAGGGUGCUUGCACCGCUGACGAGUGGCGAACGGGUGAGUAAUGCGUCGGAACGUGCCGAGUAGUGGGGGAUAACGCAGCGAAAGUUGUGCUAAUACCGCAUACGUACUGAGGUAGAAGGUGGGGGACCUUCGGGCCUCACGCUAUUCGAGCGGCCGACGUCUGAUUAGCUAGUAGGUGAGGUAAAGGCUCACCUAGGCGACGAUCAGUAGCGGGUCUGAGAGGAUGAGCCGCGACACAGGGAGUGAGAGACGGCCCAGACUCCUACGGGAGGCAGCAGUGGGGAAUUUUGGAAAAGGGGCGAGAGCCUGAUCCAGCCAUGCCGCGUGACUGAAGCAGGCCUUCGGGUUGUCAAGGACUUUUGUCGGGGAGGAAAUCCCCAGCGUUAAUACCGCUGGGGGAUGACAGUACCUGAAGAAUAAGCACCGGCUAACUACGUGCCAGCCGCCGCCGUAACAC